AUGAUAUACCAGUUUACAAGGUUGUUCUUAAAAGUCAGAGUUAAAGACCAAAUACUGUGUAAAACUGUCAGUGAUGAAUCUCCUAUUGUCAAAAUCAGGUACCAUGUGUCAAGGCUGAAACUGACUGCAAUAUCAUUCCCAGCACUGCAGUGGAAAAUGAUCCCUAUGAUGAAGAAAGUGGGUGGCCUGUUUUCAUGUCAGAGAUCAGUCAACUUGAGGUCUUGCGGAUGUUCCCUUUACAAGUGGAGUCCGGUUCAUCAGGGACAAUGCUUGUGCCUUUCAAAGCACUUCGAUGUCUGCAGAGGUUUGGGAAUCUCAGGGAUUUGCUCUCAGAAGAUCUGAUGACCUUCUCAGAAGCAUUUAGGAAGCAGCCAAGCAUAGCAAGCCAAAGCAUUCCGACAUCUCACUGAUCAGAUUAUUUUCUUCUCAUAUACAUGUGCAUCAGUGGCUGCAGUCUCUCAAACCUUUGGUGACCUUAGGCUCUGUAAUUUCUAUUUUUCCUAAUACUGCUGCACUAAUAAAUCUCUGGCAGUGAUGAGAGACAUUACAAAUGCUUUCUUGGUUUUAUUACUCUGAACAACGCAUAGGAAAUUAGGAAAAUUGAGAUGCAAUUUCCACUAUAUGUGAGAUUUUCUAUUUAUGGAAAUUAAAACUGGUAAUGGAAAGUUGGAUUUUCUGACCGAUCAGAUGACACUGAUUUUCCAUGUCGAGUCUAAUUUCAACAUCUAAUUUGAAAGUAAUUGCAUGUUCUAAUAUACUGUAGUGUAUGAAUUCACACAAAUGUGGUAGCUUCUCCUUGUUUAUGUAAUUCUCCCCUUUUAUUGAACUUUCUUCCUUUUAGCAAACAGAACGCUUGCUCUUAAAAUACAAAACUAUAGCAGAACUGUGCAGAUUAUCAAAUAAGUGGAUAUGAGUGAAUACUUUGGGAAAGCAUAAAAAAUACCUAAAUGAAUUGGGGAGAAUGGAUAGUUUCAUUUUAAAAUGACAAAUUUUCAACAAGAAUGAAAGAAGAGGAGCAUUUUAUCUUAUACUGAUAAUAAAACAGCAUUUUUAAGUCUACUGAUCUCUCAACUCUUAAAAAUCCAAACAUUAUCACCUUUUUUAUACUUCCACAAUGCACAAUUGUUACUAAUGAGAGAACUAUAAAGUCAGAGACAGCAAUCAGGCUGGUAAUUUGAGGUUUUCAGGUUCUGAUUCAGUACCAUCCAUCCAGCAAAAAAAUCUGAGCACAGAGGAGUCUUAUCAAGGAAAUUCAAGAAGCUUGAGUUGCUAAGCAGCUAAUUGACGUGAAGGCUUUGAAGUAUCUAUGUAAUAUAAGCAAAGGAAUAGUUGCAAUGAAUUUGUACGAUUAAUGACUUGGUUUGUAACUAAUGACCUAAGCUCCUUGUUGUUCCUUAUUCCUUAUUUACAAAGAAAACUAUGGGUCAAAUUUGGUUUUCCGUAAAUAGACACAAGUGCCUUCAACUUUGUGGGAGGCAUGUCAAGUUACUUAAGGGCUAAAAUAAGUCUAAAUAUACACGUAGUUAAAUAACAUAAGUCUCAUAAAGAACAAGAUAUUGAGAGUAGAAAGAAAGUCUUCAUAGUAAAUGCUACAAUCUAAAGAAUGACAAGACAUAUGCAGCGAAAUGACACCAUAAGGACAGUAAAAUAAAUGUACCCAAAUAUUAAUGAAACUGAAAUAUUAGAGUAUUAAAAUCCAGGGUGAAAACACUGAAUUUUUUUCCAGACCUUAAGGCUAAAUCCAGCCUUGGAUAAAUGCAAAAUUGGCUAUUCCAACACAUCCCUUUUUUUCUGUACGUGGACAAACCCAUCACUUCAUACUUCAAAAAGACACAAAGCUCAGGACCUUAGUUUCAUCACCAGGUACAACUCUCAGUCAGAGCAUUAAAAUAAAUUGACAGAUACAUGCAUUCAAUAUGACAAUACUUUAAGAAUAGUAAAGGCAGAACAAAAGAGCCCUUCACUAAAAUUUCCUGUAACGAACUCUCAUGUUGAAAAUACUGUCACUCAUCACAAUCAGGAAAGACUUUAAAUUGAAGGGUCAAAUAAAAUCCUUAUCACUCUAGUGUAAGAUUCCUCCAAGGCACAGAAGGGAGUUUGCAGCACCCUUGUUACACCAUUAGCUCUUUCAAUUUGUGUAUGUAAGCAAAGACUGAACUUCAGCUUGGUGCCCUGUUUGCUUAAGAGGGGUGUUCUACAGAAAUUUCAAAAGGGUCAGCUCAGUGCUUUGGAAAAAGAAAAAAAAAAACCAUAAAAAUUAUAUAGUGAAUCUGUUGUUUAUAGGCAAACCAAGAUAGGACCUGGAUAGCCCUUUACAGAGUGCUGGAUAUGGUACUAUUUUGCCUAAAGCACAAUUGUAUAAUUGUAUAAAUCACAAGUGUAUUCAGUUUGGUCUCAUCUUGCAGGAGCUCUCUGCACUUUAUCAUAUGUUAAGUGCUCUACCUCUACAAAUGGUAAAUGAAAGAAAAGUACAUGCCGGUAGGAGAUUUAACACGUAUGGAGAUCUUUAUUCGGGAGGGUUUAUCUGUUUAAGCUGUUGUUACAACUUUGUGAGAAGACUAUUUGCACUGCAGUGCAGGAUCAUGCCCUGACAUGGAGGUUGGGGUGGCCCUUUGCUGCUGCUGGGAGGUGGAGUGUUGGAUCCUCUGUUACAUGACGCUAAGAAUGCUGAGGCUAAUUUAAGGAUACUAGGAUAGGAUACUCUUGCAAUAUAUAGUGUGAAAAAUUCCAUGUAAUAAAUGCGUUGAGUGAAGAGCUGCACAACAGUUGUCCUGUGUCAGUAAGUGAUCAUCUCUCUCUGUGGUGGCUUAUGGGGCUGCCACAAACCAGUGUUAGGUAUUGCAUAUUUCUCUAAUGAUGAGAACUCUGUAGAUAGUUUUUUGAACAGGUUUCCUGAGAAGGAUCACAAGCCAGUCUUCCUUAUCAUAGAAUUAUCCUCCACUAGCAGUCUGUUUAAAGUCAGCCUGCUUUGCAGGGAGAUUUUUGUAUGUUUUGGAAGAUUUAAUAUUGUCCUAAAGCCACUAACACAGCACUAUUGCCUUCUGGUACGGACUGUUACUGUGUUAGUUCUCUGUAUUCAUAGAAAUAAGCUACAGUGGGGCUGUUGUCCUGCAUUUCUGGGAUGCAUAUCACUGCGCCGAUCUUGUCCUUUCACUGACGGUAUCUGGAGUGUUCUGACGUCUAGGACACUGCAGUUUUGUUUCCAUUUCUCUGACUAUAUGCUUUGUAAUGCCAUUUUCCAGCAUGCCCUUCCCAUUCUAGCAGACAGGAAUUUGGCUUCAGAAUCUCUUUUUUGUGUUGAAAGCAAAUUUUUACAUAAUAUGCCCUCGUGUAUCAAAAGAGAUGCAGGUCUUCUGACCUGUAGAUGCGGGUCUUCACAGCUGUUUUGCACAAGCUGAUCUGCAAUUUGAGCUAGCAAUAUCUGGCCAAUAAAACUCCCCAGAAAGCUUACUCCUGGUAUCAUCCAUCUUCACAGAUAAAUAGCAGGGUUAAAGCAGUACAGGUUUUGGAUUAUCAUACCCUGAGCGAGCAGGGGACCAUGAGAUUUUAUGACAGCAGUAGCAGUAUGUUAAAUAUAAAACACCACUGUACAUUUCUCAAAUU
rnacentral:lncRNA from 1 species